rnacentral:lncRNA from 10 species
AAUAUUUUCAACACGUUCAACAAAGGAAUAUCUUAAGGUAUAAGAAGCACUUAAAAAUCAAUGCAGAUACUCAGGAAGCUGAGGCAGGAGUACUGCUUGAGAAUAGGAGUUUAAGGCCAGCCUGGGCAACAUAGCAAGAUUCCAUCUCUAAAGGAAAAAAAAUCAAUGAGGAAAAAAAACAACAAAUUAAAAAGAAAAAUGAACCAAGCACAUGAACAGUUAAGCUCACAUGAAAAUAAAUAUCACUGGCCCAUAAAUACAUUAAAAGGUGUUCAAACUUAUUAAUAAUUUAAAGAAAUAAAGUUAAACAACAACAUAUAUCAUUAUUGAAGUUCAAAAACUUAACUGUACUCUGCUUAUGAAGGAUAAGGAAAAAACCUGUACUUUCACACAUAUUUUGGAGGGGUUAUAAAUUAGUAUAAGUGCUAUUAAUUGGCAAGAGGUGUCAACUUAAUUGCACAUGCCCUUUGACCUAGCAACUCCAGUUCUAGACUUUUAUCCUACCAGAUAUACUAAUUUGCCCAUGUGAGCAAAGAUGAGCAUACAAGGAUAUUCACUGCAGCUUUGUUUGUAAAAACAGACUGGCUAAACUGAGCGAACGAUCUAAAUAGGCAGUUCACAAAAGAAGAAGUACAAACAGCCAAUAAACACAUGAAGAUACUGAAUCUCACUAGCAAACAGGCAUUCACAAAGUUUAACUGAGAGAAAAGGCUAUUCCAAUACCCUUACCUCUCACCCGAAAAUAAGACAGACUUUUUAAGUCGUAUUAUGGUAGAUGUGAGCAACAAAGAAAAGAAUAUGAAAUUAUUUGUUACUUAAAACACAAAGCAGGGGCCAAGCAACUGUCUUUUAUUUGGGAAUCCAAAUACCCCUUUUCCCUUCCUUCUGGCUGGCCUAAAAGGAUCACAACCUGUUAUGCGAGCUCCAAGUUUGAACUGUAGAAAUUUCUGCUCCCACAUAUCUUCCAAAUCUUGCGCCAGCAAUAUAUCCUGUUCAUCUUCUUCAUCAUGAAGGUCAGCUUUCUUCUUUGCCAGUCGCUGGUUUUCAUCCAGAGCACGAAGCUCGUGGUCUGAAUACAGGCUUCUCUCUAUCUCAAUCUGGGAAAAUUCAAAGGGCAAAAAACUACCUUAAUCUGGCAAAAUUAAAAGGAAAAAAAAAACAGGAAGAAUAAAACAGAGACAUGGCACACUUGGCAAGCUCAGAAGUUUAUCACCCAACAUAACCAGAUACACAGUCAAAACACCAUGCAGAAAGGAAAUGGAGGGAAAAAAAG